rnacentral:rRNA from 1 species
AGCUUGCUUGUUGGGGUUGUAGGACUCCAAUAUGGUAGUUCUUUCAGAUAGUCGAAUGACUUGGAAAAGUCAGUCAAAGAGGGUAAAAACCCCGUAGACGAAAUGUGGAAGACACCUAGGAGGAUCCUGAGUACGGCGGAACACGAGAAAUUCCGUCGGAAUCCGGGAGGACCAUCUCCCAAGGCUAAAUACUCCCUAGUGACCGAUAGUGAACCAGUACCGUGAGGGAAAGGUGAAAAGCACCCCGGAAGGGGAGUGAAAUAGAACCUGAAACCGUGUGCCUACAACAAGUCAAAGCCCGUUAAUGGGUGAUGGCGUGCCUUUUGUAGAAUGAACCGGCGAGUUACGAUUGCAUGCGAGGUUAAGUUGAAGAGACGGAGCCGCAGCGAAAGCGAGUCUGAAUAGGGCGUUUGAGUAUGUAGUCGUAGACCCGAAACCAUGUGAUCUACCCAUGUCCAGGUUGAAGGUGCGGUAAAACGCACUGGAGGACCGAACCCACGUACGUUGAAAAGUGCGGGGAUGAGGUGUGGGUAGCGGAGAAAUUCCAAACGAACUUGGAGAUAGCUGGUUCUCUCCGAAAUAGCUUUAGGGCUAGCCUCGGAAUUGAGAAUGAUGGAGGUAGAGCACUGUUUGGACUAGGGGCCCAUCUCGGGUUACCGAAUUCAGAUAAACUCCGAAUGCCAUUCAUUCAUAUCCGGGAGUCAGACUGUGAGUGAUAAGAUCCAUAGUCGAAAGGGAAACAGCCCAGACCACCAGCUAAGGUCCCAAAAUAUAUGUUAAGUGGAAAAGGAUGUGGGGUUGCACAGACAACUAGG